AGCUGAGUCAACACCAUGUAUCUCCCUGCCUUCUCUCCUCCACUGAGUCACUGCUAAGCCCAAUGGUACCCAUGCCACCAAUGUGACCAGAACUCCACUGAAGCAAAUACAGAUCAGGGAAGGGCAGCAGGAACUGAAGAAGAAGGUGAUGCACUCUGACUGUAGGACAGGGAGGAUGCUGCUGUUCUGUUAAACAAAUAAUAAUCUUUUCUGCAACCAGAAAGGAAAUGGGAAGAUGGCAGAAAUCUAUUUGGCCAUGUUGCAGAGAGGAAAGUAUUAAUUAUAGUCUAGUAGCAAUCUUUAUUCUCAUAACCAUCUUGUCGAGCCUACACUUCUGGAGAAGUUUCUCAUGAGGGAGGGGAAAAAUCCCUAAUUCUUAAAAACAACGCAAGCCUACGCCUUCUGGUUUUGGCCUGAACCCAGUACCCACAACAGAAACCUUUCAACAGAAGGCAGUAAGGACUUCUCGUGGAAAAGGCACAAGACCAAGACCCACGUUUCCAGUAAAAACUGUUCUUUUUUCCCCUCUUCCCAACCUCAUUGUUCCCAAAAGAUACAAUGAAAAUGGAAGAUUGUUGGGAUUUCUAUAAGAAGAUUUGGCAGGUUUUUCAUAUUUGUUUAGACUGCAAGAUAUAAUUUGAAUUUGGGGCUUGCCUCUCUCUCACUAAGAAGAAGAAUGAGUUAUUUGUUCUCUGAAUAAGUAUUUGUUAUUAGUGGAUCAGACAUGGAUAAGGUAUAUUAUUACAACCAUGUUUGUUAGGUAUGAUUUACAUUGUUUGCUGCAUAUCAUUUUAGGCUGUCUUAAUUUUGUUAUACUUUAAGGGGGUUUUGUUUGGUUUUAUGCAUUUAGUCACAGUUGGUUGUGUUUUGAACUUUGAAAAAAAUUAAUACAAAGGAAAUUAAAAAAAGAAAAAGAAAAUAUUUUCAAAAUGAUGUGGAAAUCAAAUCUAUCCCUCAGUAAUUUGAUUUGUAGGAAAUGGAGAGCAAAGCAUUACAAAGCAUUACAAACAGAAUGCCUUGAAGUGCAUCAUAAUUACUUACAUGUGCAAAUACAUUGUCUAGGUUUAGGCAUUCAGUUAAUAAUAGUCAUAAUAAUUCUAUGCCCUUGCACAGGGUCUUUCAUCCAAGCGUCUCAAGGUUUGU
ensembl:lncRNA